UCUAAACAUUUUCAAAUCUAUAUUACAAGAAAUAUCACUAACUUCCAAGAAGAAGCAAACAAAAGAAAAAGUAGUCCACUUAUAGAAUAAGCAUCAUACACUUCAUGAGUUGAUUGCACACCAAUACAAAGUUAGACAAUUUCAUCUAUCCAUUACAAGGUAUUUGCUGACUUUAUAGCACGUUGGCCUCCAAUUAGAUUGUCUUCAAUACAAACAUGCUUAUUUAGAAUUUAUCUGAUGAGUAAUUGUGAUCUGAAAUUGUAGUAACAA
rnacentral:lncRNA from 1 species